ACAACCAAGUUAAGAGGUGGGAAGCAAUAAGCAUGUUAAAAUACGUACUUGCGUCAGUGAAUCUUCCAGUGGAUAUAAAAAGGCAUACAAUCGAUUUCUUACUUUCUAUUACUGAUGGAAGUAUCACACUAAAUUGCCAUGAUGGAAUAACAGACUACAUAACUUACAUUCCUGGAUUGUUUGCCAUGAUGGAAUAACAGACUACAUAACUUACAUUCCUGGAUUGUUUGCCACAUCACAGGUACAUUCUGGCUUCCUGAAUUUGUAUAUUAUAAUGUAUCUUCUUUUAACCUUCAGAACCAUAUUUUAGGCAAUUACCAAGGUCAUCAUGU
rnacentral:lncRNA from 1 species